UUCCGGUUGAUCCUGCCGGAAGCCAUUGCUAUCAGGGUUUGACUAAGCCAUGCGAGUCGAGAGGUGUAAGACCUCGGCAUACUGCUCAGUAACACGUGGUUAACCUGCCCUAAGGUGGAGAAUACUCCCGGGAAACUGGGGCUAAUGCUCCAUAGUGGAUAUGUCCUGGAAUGGUAUAUCCUCGAAAGAUCCGUCGCCUUAGGAUGGGACUGCGUCCGAUUAGGUUGUUGGCGGGGUAACGGCCCACCAAGCCAUUGAUCGGUACGGGUUGUGGGAGCAAGAUCCCGGAGAUGGAUUCUGAGACAUGAAUCCAGGCCCUACGGGGCGCAGCAGGCGCGCAAACUUUACAAUGCGAGCAAUCGUGAUAAGGAAACCCUGAGUGCCUGUCGAUGCAGGCUGUUCAUAUAUCUAAAUCAUAUGUGAAGAAAGGGCAGGGCAAGACCGGUGCCAGCCGCCGCGGUAAUACCGGCUGCUCGAGUGAUGGCCACUAUUACUGGGUUUAAAGCGUCCGUAGCUUGACUGUUAGGUCUCUUGGGAAAUCUUCACGCUCAACGUGAAGGCGUCUAAGAGAUACCGGCAGUCUUGGAACUGGGAGAGGUAAACCGUACUUCGGGGGUAGGAGUGAAAUCUUGUAAUCCUCGAGGGACGACCUAUGGCGAAGGCAGUUUACCAGAACAGCUUCGACAGUGAGGGACGAAAGCUGGGGGAGCAAACGGGAUUAGAUACCCCGGUAGUCCCAGCCGUAAACAAUGUGCGUUAGGUGUGUCGGUAACCACGUGUUACUGAUGCGCCGAAGAGAAAUCGUGAAACGCACCACCUGGGAAGUACGGUCGCAAGGCUGAAACUUAAAGGAAUUGGCGGGGGAGCACCACAACAAGUGGAGCCUGCGGUUUAAUUGGAUUCAACGCCGG
rnacentral:rRNA from 1 species